AUGGCCGCCGCUGCCAUCCGGUCCGCGAGCAGCCACCGGGCGCUGCACGAGGCCACGGCCAACGGCAGGACGCGCGCCUGCCGCUACCUCGUCCAGGACCUCGGCUUCCCUGUCGACCCCCUCUCCGACACGGGCGAGACACCGUUGCUCCUAGCCGCCACGCUCGGCCACGCCGCGACGGCAGCCUGCCUCCUGGAGCACGGCGCCAGCGCGCACGCCCAGGACCACGACGGCGAGACCGCGCUCCACUGGGCUGCCUACAAUGGGGACCUCCUGCUGGUCGCGCUGCUCCUGGACAGAGGCGCCGACGUUGGCACCGCGAACCCUCGUGGCACGGCGCUGCAUAUCGCGGCCACGCAGGCGCAUCCGAACCUUGUCGCCUUCCUGCUGCGUCAUGGUGUCGAUCCGAACAAGCUUCUCUGCCGUGUCUUCACACCCUUGGUCUCAUCGACUCUUGGCGGCUCACUGGAAUGCAUGAAACUGAUCAUUCAGGCCGGAGCUAAUGUUAACGCGGGUGGAUCUUCUGGAACGACCCCUCUCUUGGUAGCAUGCAACCGCCGCGGCAACAUCCGGCUCGUCGAGUGCUUGCUGGAAGCCAGAGCAGAUCCAAACAGUACUGAUGAACUUGGUAGGUUUCCGAUAGAAAUCGCCGCUGUCCAUGCCGAGAGGAAAGUCGUUCGAGCUCUGUUUCCUGUGACUCAACGCCCUCCAACUGUCCUUGGUUGGAGUGUUGCUAGCAUAGUGAGACGUGUAAAAUCUGCUUCUUACAGGGAGCGGGUUUACAUGAUCACAUGUAGGAGGAAAGAUGAACUAAAACUACAAGGAAACAAGGCCUUUGAAAUCAAGGACUACGAUGCGGCGAUUCCUCUGUACAGCAUGGCACUGAAACUCGACGACACGGAUGCCACCUUAUAUUCAAACAGGAGCAUCUGUUGGCUGCACCUUGGUGACGGCGAUGAGGCUCUUUCGGACGCCCAGGCCUGCACCAGGGUCUGGCCUGACUGGGAGAAAGGAUACUACCGUUAGGGAAUGGCCUUCCCCUUGUUGGAGGUGAUCAUCGGCCUCAUUUAA
rnacentral:rRNA from 1 species